UACGAAGGGAGCGAGCGUUGUUCGGAAUCACUGGGCUUAAAGCGUGCGUAGGCGGAUUAGUAAGUAAGAAGUGAAAUCCCAGGGCUUAACCCUGGAACUGCUUUUUAGACUGCUUGUCUGGAAUUCGGUAGAGGUUGGUGGAACUCCUAGUGUAGAGGUGAAAUGCGUAGAUAUAGGAAGGAACACCAGUGGCGAAGGCGACCACCUGGGCUCAUACUGACACUGAGGUGCGAAAGCGUGGGGAGCAAACAGG
rnacentral:rRNA from 1 species